rnacentral:rRNA from 1 species
UCUGGCAUCAGACAGCUGUUAAAGAUUUAUCGAUGUAAGCUGGGCAUGCGUCCAAUUAGUUAGUUGGCGAGGUAACGGCUCACCAAGACUAUGAUUGGUAGGGGAACUGAGAGGUCAAUCCCCCACACUGGCACUGAGAUACGGGCCAGACUCCUACGGGAGGCAGCAGUAGGGAAUAUUGGGCAAUGGACGCAAGUCUGACCCAGCCAUGCCGCGUGCAGGAAGAAGGCGUUAUGCGUUGUAAACUGCUUUUAUACAGGAAGAAACGACUCUUGCGAGAGGCAUUGACCGUACUGUAUGAAUAAGCACCGGCUAACUCCGUGCCAGCAGCCGCGGUAAUACGGAGGGUGCAAGCGUUGUCCGGGUUUAUUGGGUUUAAAGGGUGCGCAGGUGGUUUAUUAAGUCAGUGGUGAAAGACGGUCGCUCAACGAUUGCAGUGCCAUUGAGACUGGUAGACUUGAGUAAAGUAGAGGUGGGCGGAAUUGAUAGUGUAGCGGUGAAAUGCAUAGAUAUUAUCAAGGAACUCCAAUUGCGUAGGCAGCUCACUUGGCUUUUACUGACACUCAUGCACGAAAGUGUGGGUAUCAAACAGGAUUAGAUACCCUGGUAGUCCACACUGUAAAC